rnacentral:rRNA from 1 species
AUUGAACGCUGGCGGCAGGCCUAACACAUGCAAGUCGAACGAGUGGCGGACGGGUGAGUAAUGUCUGGGAAACUGCCCGAUGGAGGGGGAUAACUACUGGAAACGGUGGCUAAUACCGCAUACCAUCGGAUGAACCCAUAUGGGAUUAGCUAGUAGGUGGGGUAACGGCUCACCUAGGCGACGAUCCCUAGCUGGUCUGAGAGGAUGAUCAGCCACACUGGGACUGAGACACGGCCCAGACUCCUACGGGAGGCAGCAGUGGGGAAUAUUGCACAAUGGGCGCAAGCCUGAUGCAGCCAUGCCGCGUGUAUGAAGAAGGCCUUCGGGUUGUAAAGUACUUUCAGCGGGGAGGCGUUACUCGCAGAAGAAGCACCGGCUAACUCCGUGCCAGCAGCCGCGGUAAUAC